AUUGAACGCUGGCGGCAGGCCUAACACAUGCAAGUCGAGCGGAUGAAGGGAGCUUGCUCCUGGAUUCAGCGGCGGACGGGUGAGUAAUGCCUAGGAAUCUGCCUGGUAGUGGGGGAUAACGUCCGGAAACGGGCGCUAAUACCGCAUACGUCCUGAGGGAGAAAGUGGGGGAUCUUCGGACCUCACGCUAUCAGAUGAGCCUAGGUCGGAUUAGCUAGUUGGGGGGGUAAAGGCCUACCAAGCCGACGAUCCGUAACUGGUCUGAGAGGAUGAUCAGUCACACUGGAACUGAGACACGGUCCAGACUCCUACGGGAGGCAGCAGUGGGGAAUAUUGGACAAUGGGCGAAAGCCUGAUCCAGCCAUGCCGCGUGUGUGAAGAAGGUCUUCGGAUUGUAAAGCACUUUAAGUUGGGAGGAAGGGCAGUAAGUUAAUACCUUGCUGUUUUGACGUUACCAACAGAAUAAGCACCGGCUAACUUCGUG
rnacentral:rRNA from 1 species